GGAACUUAUAUCCAAAGACCCUAGGCCUAUAUCACUGAUGGUUUACCAGUUAGAAACGCAUAUCACUUAUAUCAAAUGCAUAAGGGGAAAUAACUCUCAUAUGGAGUCUCCGGAUAACUUCGAUCCAAAUGAAUAUCCUAAUCCUGAAGAAGUAACGAGCAAUUUGGUAAAAUAAAUUUGUUGUAAUCUUUUACGGUUGCGAAGGAGUAGUGGCCACAAGAAAAACAGUGUUUGGGGAGAUAAGUCUUACAACGUAAAGUAUUUUGUUACGCAGUUGUAAAUUUGUAAAGGGUAUAAACUAUACGACAUCAUAUUCCAAAUAUCUCAGUGACAUCUUUUGAAACAUCAAUACUACAU
rnacentral:lncRNA from 1 species